CAAGGGCUUUUUUCUAGUGGAUCAAAUUAUGAGUCAGUUGACAAUAAUCUCUGUGAGUCAUUCAACCAUGCCAUUGAUGAUGCUAAAUUCUAUCCAAUUAUUUCUAUGCAAGAGAAGAUUAGGAAGAAAAUAUUGGUGAGAAUUCAAGAACAGAGGGAGAAGGGUGAGAAUAUGACAUGGAAAAUAUGCCCUCGCAUCUUUAAAAAGAUCAAGAAGUCUAUUGCUUGGACACAAUAUCUUGAGGUGAUCUGGAAUGGGGAAAAUGGGUUUGAAGUGAAGCAUAUCAAUGGAAAGGGAAGACAGUACACUGUUGAUCUUGUAAAAAGGAUAUGCUCCUGUGGCUAUUUCGCUGGUUGA
rnacentral:rRNA from 1 species